GUCAUUCUUCCACACAUAAAGGGAAAACGGACUCACUAGGAGGACCUAGACUCUUUCAGCUUGAACUGUUAACCAAUGGUGGAAAUGCAAGAAUGCUGAAGUUGUGCCUUCAGAGCCAAUAGAGUGGAUUUGUGUGUCCCACAUGACUGUGUUUCCCCAGUCUUUCACAUGGGCAGUAUUUAGUUCAAUUCAGAACUGCAGAUAGUAUAGCAUGCAGAGCAGCAAUGGGAUGUCUGAGCACAAGUGGCUGACUUCCAGGCGCCUUCAGGAAGCACAUUUGUACAUUUCUCCUGAAUUAAACUGGGAUUCUGCACCCUUGACAUGUUCCUUACCUCCUUGUCUCUGCAGGAGGAGACAGUGACCUGCAUAGCACAACAAAACUACAAAUCAACACACAUGUGGAGACCAGCAAAUGGAGUGAACUGAGAGCAAUUGACCAUUGUCAUCUGUGUUGGUUCCCCAGAAGUCGAUGAAAAAUGUUAUCGGGCCUCCAAGGUACAACCCAGAGAUCAGUCGGUUGUGCUAUACAAUUAGCAAAUGAUUAAACCAAGCUGUUUUCAUUGAUUACAUUAAGAUCCUUGCAGCAGUGAGAGCUAUUAUCUUGUGUAGAAGACUGUACCUUCACAGAUUUUGUUGUUUCUUAGAACUUUAUUAACAAUGUGCCACACCAGCCAAAUGAUCAGGCAGCAGUGCCAUCUCAGAUACAAGGAAAAGAUCAUUAUGAAACUCCACCUACCUCAUCUGGGCAAAUAAAGGCUUUGUGGCAAACAAAUGCAAGAAAAAUUACUCAUUUCUCUUCAGACACACUCUGAGGGAAGCAAUCACUCUCCACCUUGGUCCCUAUCAGAUGAGCAUCCAUAUGCCAGCUGGUGUAAAUGCAGAUCCCACUGAUGUCAAUGGAGCUGUGUCAAUUUACACAAGUUGAGAAUCUGAUAUCAAGUGUGUUAGUGGAAUUUUUAGACACUGCCAUUAGCAUUCACUUUUGCAACACAAUUAAAAACACAUCCGUGCAUUACAUUUCUUCCUGUCCCCAAGUGUGUCACCGAAAGCCUGUUGACAGACUGUGGAAGUGGGCAAGUGGGAGGUAGAAGUAGCCUACAACUGUAUCCAUGAAAUAACUUUGCAAUAUGGAUAUUAAGAGUACUGUUCUGUUUUCUUCCCUUUAUACAAACAUAUAUUUACCUUCAAAAAGACUUAGCUCCGCCUUCCAGCUGCAAUUCAGUGCCAGUAAAAAAAAAAAAGUCGCUGUAAACCAUGCAGAGCAUCUACCAUAUAAAUAUGUUAAAAUACUAUUGUAAUCAGUGUACAAUCUGAAUAGACUGGUUUAAUGCAUCAUUAGGGAAAUUAUCUAAAAUCAUAAGAAACCCCGCAAACCUGAGAUCUGUGUAUUCACCUAGGUAUUUAUUCGCAAGCAGUCUCACUGCUGUACAAGCAGUAAGAUUGUUAGAAGUACUAAAACAACUGUUUGAAGCAGACUGCAAGCCAGACCCGUCUGUGAGCUACCAUUAAUAUUUCAUCAACCGUUUAUGAGGGGGAGGGAGAAAGAAGAAAGGAAGGCAAUAAGCAGGGCAGAGUAGUACUUCACAGCUCUAGCCACCAUUUCCAAGUAGGGAGUGAGAGCUUUUAUUACUGUUUUACAUAAGGCAGCUGUUCAACAUGAGUGUACUGUGUAACAGUUGCUAGUAUUAACCAGUACAAUGAAGUUGAGCACUAGUCUUUAGAUUCAAGAUACCAAGGUCAAAAUGGGAAAGCUAACUAAUGAGAACCAAAGAUGCAGUUCAUGUAGCAUUGAAGCGACUGUCUGUUCAGCAUAACACCCAUAUCUUCAAUUUAGGUCAGGCCAUGAAGAGAGGGAAAAGGACUGAAGAUGAGAUGCUCUACUUCACACAGUUGCCCUCUGGAAGGAAUGGCAAAGGCAGUCACUUAAAUUAAGUACAGGUCAUCAGACAAGAUACCUAAUCUAUUCCUAAGACCGGCAGCUCCAGCAGUCCAAGUCCCUAUGGCCUUUACAGCGACACAACGAACUAUUUCCUCAUGUACCUCUGUCAAUUCAUGUUAGGUUCCAAUGUUUUUAAAGCAAUAUUUCAUGUAUACCAUGACCCUAUUGCUCAUACAAAGGAAAACACUUUAGUUUAUUUAUGACCUACUAACCUUAAAUGAAAAAAAAAAACCAUACAUCCAAUAUGAAUGUUCACAUAAGCCUGCAGAUCUGAAGUAAAACUUAAAAAAGCUGGCAUUUGUAGCAGCAAGCUAAGCCCUGUAAGAGAUUUUAAAAAAAUGAAAACCAGAUGAGAGAAUAUGAAAGCAUUUUUACCCUGCAUAACCUGCACACAUCAGGAAUCGGGGUUGGAGCUCAGGAACACUUUUUUGUGGUUUUGUACUUACAAGUUUCAUCCCAUUUCUACAGAGGCUAGGUAUCCAAAGAAAGACUGAGAUUUUUUCAUUAUGGGGGUGGGAAGAGCAUGACAAUAACCUGUGAAAGUAAUUCCUUCUAUGAUGCAAUCCACCCAGCUGCAAUCUCUAUAUAGUUCCUCUCCUUCUCCUAUCCCUCUCCCUAACUGCCAGGUGUCAGCCAAGCAAGACCUUGUAUUGAAAUGUGAAGAGAGAGAUGGAAGUGGGAAUUAAGAACAUGGGAAUGGGUACUGAAAAGAAUGGCACACCGAAAGUGAGCAUAUAAUAGGGAGGAUGUUAAACGUGAGUGACCCUAAAACAUAAAGUCUAUUCAUUUGGCUAGAACGAUAUUGCACAGAAGCAGAUGCAGAAAAGACUACUGAGUUGGAAAGUCAUUCUCUCAUCCCUCAAGCUGGUGUAAAGAACUCCUUUUGUAACAUCCACAGAAUUUUACUGUAGAAGAGUCAGUACAAAUAAAAGGAGAAAAAAAAAAGAAAGAAAUUGAACUUCAGAGCUGAAAUAUGAAGUAUCAACAGCAAAUAUCCUGUAUUGCUGUAUUGGGGAAAAAAAAAGACGGCCAUAUUUUGUUAGAAUUCAGAGAUAUUCACAGUCACAGUUGCCUUCCUAAACAAAGCACAUGUAAUCUACCAUAAAGGAGAAAAUGAGUUGAUUUAAUUCCUUUUCCCCAAUAGGCUGCAUUAACGACUCUUUGUCUUUUAGAUAUAUUUAAGAGAAAAUACAUUUGAGUUAAAUGACGUAAUAAAUACCUCUAUAUGCAGAGCAAUUAAUUGAAAAAAGCAGCUAGGACAAAGUCCUUGUCAUGGUGUUUGCUUAUAAAAUAGAUACAGGCAGCACAGUUUUGAAUUGCAGUAUUUUGGUGCUUAUUUCCUUUAUUGAAGUACAAACAAUUUUAACAAAAACCUGCAACAUUUAUAAAGACUUUUAAAACAACCAGAAAUGGAUGAGAACUAAUAUACAAUGUAUUUUAACAAAGGACAAGGUAAACAAACAGCAAUUUUUAGAAUCCAAUAAUUUCAGUCCAGCAAGGUAAGAGUGGACCUAGCAAAAGAGAAUCCAGACCAGCUGAGCUGCAAGACCACCUUCUCAGGAGAACUCUGCUCACAAAUGCAAAUAAGGUAAAAUUCCUAGGUUAUCAUUUUUUGCCUUCUGAUCCAGCCUCUAAAACCCUUCCCAUACAACAUAAGAAUUGCAACGCUAAAGUAAGUUUUUUAAAUAUUUAUUUUAACAUAUGAGGAUGAUCGAGUUGGAAAGAUCCAAAGAUUGGAAAUAAGUAUUGUGCUACUGUGGAAAUUUUUAAGUAUAAGCACUUUACAGUGUGACAAUCAGGUUCUGGAUAUGGACAGCAUGCUGCCAACUAAAAAAAAAAAAAACAUGAAAAGAAAUUUAGGUCAUCAAUGCUUGAUGUACAUUCACCUUUUUUCCUUCUGAAAACUCUCAUAACACAUUCUGUGUUUAUGACAAUUUGUAAGGAAAAAAGGCCUUCUGUUUCUGAAAGGUUUAUUGAGAAAUUAAGCAUUCUUAAAAGAAAAUGUAGUUUCCGUCAGUCCUAAGCAAGUUUAAAUCCAUUUUAACCGUAUCAGCAGAAGAAAUUUUACUCAAUUGGGCAAUCUAUAAUUGGAAACACCUAUUCAUAAAUCUCUUGGCCGGCUCUUUUCACAUAUGGGAUGUUGUGUUUUGGUUUGCUAUGAAGUUCAGUUUUGAGAAAAAACAUCAACACUAAUCCACUUGUAACUGGAUCCCCAGCCUCCAUCCUUAAAGCCUGAGUAAGUAAAGUAUCUUUUCUUUUCAUAGAAAGAAAUUUGGAAAAAUGCCAGCUCACUGUACGAAGGCUGCAAUAAGAUGGGCAGAGAAGGGUGUUGGUGUCGGUAAGAGAAAAAUGACUGAAGUUUCAUCAUCUGUAUGAUUAAAAUCACUGUGUGAAUUUUGAUUUCCCCCCCUCCUUUCAGACAUUCAGACAUUUGGCAGGAUGCUGCCAAAUCAAUGGAGUUCUGUUGUAGUGGUUGCUUCAGUGAACAUUCAACGCUGUCGGUGAGUUUGGAAUUAAAGUGAAAACCAUCGACCGUUGAUUGUACCCUCCAGCUAACCAUCCUCCUCCUUACUUCAUGCUUUCAGGCCUUAACAGCGAAGAUAGCAACCUUACCACCACACGAUGUUUCUCCCUCACUCUGCCAAGCGUUACAAAAAAAGGUCACAAUCAACAUUCAUUGCUGUCGGUGGGUUUAACUAUGUGGACAAGCUCACUGAACAAUGAAUGCAACUGUGGCCCCACAUUUUACUGUCGUCAUUAAGAGGAACAUCAGCUCUGAAAGUGGUAGUCGGAAGCAAACACCUCUUACAGGCUACGUUUUUCUGCUCAAAAAGUAGUUGGGGAUAUUUAAUUUUUGCUUGCUUGUUUUAAACUCUGUUUAAGCUAGCUGACUAGAAAAAAAAAUCACUGCAUUUUUGUAGAAUGUGCCUUCUCAGGGUUCAGCAUCACUGAAAUCAUAAAAAUUCUUAUUCAUUAUGCAUGUUGAACUUUGUUUAUAUACAGUCCUAAGGAUUCUGACUAUAGGUGGAAAUAAUACUUAAAUCUCAUUUUUAAUUGUUGUGGAAUAGUUCAAAAAUUUAUUCUCUAUUUGUCAUAACAAAUACAAAUGGGAGCCAUAGUUGAAAGAUAUGGAUAAAAUGUUAAACAAAGCAUUAAUUAAUUUUACAUGAAACUGAUUUCAAACACCUAAAUAAUCACUAUUAGACAGCAAAUAAUAUUACAUUUGCCUAUCGAAGAUAACAGAGAAAUGUAUAUCUAGUAAUAAUAAUGGAAUAGUAGUUAAAUUGUAAAAUAACUGUAAACUUUGGGCACCUAUGUCAUCUUCUCAGUAAUGCUGAUAGUAAAAAGAAAAUAAAAGUGUAAA